rnacentral:rRNA from 1 species
GACGAACGCUGGCGGCGGGCUUAACACAUGCAAGUCGAACGGUAAAGCGCCUUCCUUUUUGGUUGGUGGGGAUGAGUGGCGAACGGGUGAGUGACACGUGAGUAACCUGCCCCCUUCUGCGGGAUAACGGCAUGAAAGUUUGGCUAAUACGGGAUAUGCUGUGUCUGUCGCAGGAUGGGUCUGUUGAAGAUAUUGUGUCUGUAGGGGCUGGGCUCGCGGCCUAUCGUCUUGGUGGUGGGGUGAUGGCCUACCAAGGCUGUGACGGGUAGCCGGCCUGAGAGGGUGGACCGUCACACAGGGAAUGAGCGACGGCCAAGACUCCUACGGGAGGCAGAAGUGGGGAAUAUUGCACAAUGGGCGGAAGACUGCUGCAGCGCCGCCGCGUGAGGGAUGGAGGCCUUCGUGUUGUGAACCUCUUUCGCCAGUGAAGCAGGCCUGCCUCGUUUGUGGGUGGGUUGACGGUAGCUGGAUAAGAAGCGCCGGCUAACUACGUG